GAUCCGGCUCAGGAUGAACGCUAGCUACAGGCUUAACACAUGCAAGUCGAGGGGCAGCAUGACCUAGCAAUAGGUUGAUGGCGACCGGCGCACGGGUGAGUAGCACGUAUCCAACCUACCGGUUAUUCCGGGAUAGCCUUUCGAAAGAAAGAUUAAUACCGGAUAGUAUAACGAGAAGGCAUCUUCUUGUUAUUAAAGAAUUUCGAUAACCGAUGGGGAUGCGUUCCAUUAGUUUGUUGGCGGGUAACGGCCCACCAAG
rnacentral:rRNA from 1 species